rnacentral:rRNA from 1 species
CACGUAGGGGGCAAGCGUUGUUCGGAAUUACUGGGCGUAAAGGGCAUGUAGGCGGUUUUGUAAGCCUGGCGUGAAAUUCUGCAGCAUAACUGUAGGACUGCGCUGGGAACUGCGAGACUGGAGUCACGGAGAGGGAUCCAGAAUUCCAGGUGUAGGGGUGAAAUCUGUAGAUAUCUGGAAGAAUACCAAGGGCGAAGGCAGGCUUCUGGCCGAUGACUGACGCUGCGGUGCGAAAUCGUGGCUAGCAAACAGG